GAUGAACGCUAGCGGCAGGCUUAACACAUGCAAGUCGAGGGGUAUUGGUUUUCGGACCAAGAGACCGGCGCACGGGUGCGUAACGCGUAUGCAAUCUACCUUUUGCAGAGGGAUAGCCCCAGAGAAAUUUGGACUAAUACCUCAUAGUAUAGUACUUUGGCAUCAAGGAACUAUUAAAGUCACAACGGCAAAGAUGAGCAUGCGUCCCAUUAGCUAGUUGGUAAGGUAACGGCUUACCAAGGCUACGAUGGGUAGGGGUCCUGAGAGGGAGAUCCCCCACACUGGUACUGAGACACGGACCAGACUCCUACGGGAGGCAGCAGUGAGGAAUA
rnacentral:rRNA from 1 species